GAGUGUCAUCAAAUUUAAAAUUUCAUUACUAAGACUACAGAGCAACUAUAGAAUUAUUACAUGUAAUGUAACCAAAUUAAAAGUCUCAAAUAAAAUAAAACCAUAACUAUCGAAAUUAAGAUAGGUCAAAUGAAAUCCUCAUGCAAAAUUUCUUCUUAUCUUUGAUUUCCAGUUUUCUUGAAUCCAAAUGCAUGGUCUCUAAUAUAACAAGUCCCUUCUAUCUUUAAUUCCGAGUUAUCUUGUUCUCAACCAAGACUAGGAAACUAUUCACUUUUUCUUAGCUUGUUAACAUUGUUGGAUUUCAAGCAGAAAACCAUUAUAAAUACAUACUCAUUAUAGCUAUUGUUACUGUUUUCCGAUUUUCUGGUAGAAUCAAGUCAAGAAAGCAUUAGAUGUGUGUUUGUAAUAAAAACUUUUGUUUGAAGGGAGUUCUAUAUGAUUGUGCAGUCCAAGUGGCAAUGAUCCUGAAGAGUCAAGGAUACCACCUCCAAGAAAUUGAUUCAUCUGCAAGCAUAUGUUUAAAUUACACAUGAUACUUUCAAGUUUAAUAGAGUAGCAAAUAAAUAAGUACUUCUUUAUCUGAUAGAAAAAUGCCAGACUCACUUUCAAGUUCUAUAAUGCUGAUUAAAAGAACCAAUGCACCAACAUAAAAGAAGUCAGAGAUAUACUCAAGAGGUUGCUAGGUAUUAUAAAUAAAAUUCAUUACAACUGGCAGAUCAUGGAGCUACUGCUUAUCAAUUUUGGCAAGAAAACUAAGUGGAACUAUCUUGAAUCAGAAAGAUAGAAAGCAAUAAACUAUAGAAUAAAAAGAAUUAAGUUUUGUGAUUUGUUAUUGAUCAUAAAAGAAGAAAUCAGAAUCAUAGCUUUCUCUCUACAAUGAGUUACACUAUACAUCAAGUGGCCUCUCUAUUAUAUACUCUUCACAAAAAUCUAUGGUCCUAUCUUAUAGUGUUAAAACUCACAAUAAAGGCACGGAUAAAAAGAAAGAAAGAAAGCACAUGCAGGAACAGAGAAUGAGACUUAAAUAAUUAAGUCUAAGUCGGUUAACAUCAAAUGGAAAAAUUUCAAGCAUAGGGACCCUAGUUUGUUCAAAGGAAUUAGAUUAGCAUAUUAAGUAUUUUUUGGUCUACUCUAUAUAGCUAGAUAGUGACAUAAAAUCUUACUUGAGUUCUUAUAUUCUGUGCAAUCUGUACAAGGAGUAUAAUCACUUCCAAGAUAACUUGUAAAUAACUAGGAACUUGGCUUUUUUGUCUGAGAGUUAGUUCUACGGUAAUAAAAACUUAUAAACUAAUUGAAAUCACUUAGCACAAAUGAAUGAACCUUCGUAAAAAUAACUAAAAAAUAAAUGUGAAAUUCGGACAGAGGAUUGAAUCUGGACAGAGGAUUUGGGUUGAAAUUCAGACGAGCGUUGAAAUUCGGGGGGAAUUUGAUUUUGAAACUAACAGAAACUAAGGCUCUUCGAAAAAAAAAACAAAAAUUAAGGAAAACACAGAGAAUUGGAAAAGAGAGUGAAAGCAUACUUUCUCUUCUUCCUCUAAACUACCUUCUUUUCACCAAUGGCAUGCCUCUUGUGCAAAGAAUUCCUAGAAAUACCUUAAACCCAAGCGACGAGCCACUUGGUGACGGCGAGGACCCGAAACCAGAAGACAAGACGACGAGCCACGACGACCUGACGAGUUGCUUCUGUUGCCGGCGACAAGGAGCCCAAGAAAGGCCGCAAGACGUUGAGACCCCGGCGACCCCGGCAACGAGGCGAGACGAAUGACGAGACGCCAGCAAGUGUGACUGAGACGAGACUCGAGUGAGACUGAGAGAAACUCUAGUGGGCUAGUGGUAGUGGAAGUGAGAGAGGAGAG
rnacentral:lncRNA from 1 species